rnacentral:rRNA from 1 species
CCUACGGGUGGCUGCAGUGGGGAAUAUUGCACAAUGGGGGAAACCCUGAUGCAGCGACGCCGCGUGAGUGAAGAUGUAUUUCGGUAUGUAAAGCUCUGUCAGCAGGGAAGAAAAUGACGGUACCUGACCAAGAAGCCCCGGCUAACUACGUGCCAGCAGCCGCGGUAAUACGUAGGGGGCAAGCGUUAUCCGGAUUGACGGGGGGGAAAGGGAGCGUAGACGGCAGGGCAAGUCUGGAGUGAAAGGCGGGGGCUCAACCCCCGGACUGCUCUGGAAACUGCCAGGCGGGAGUGCAGGAGAGGUAAGUGGAAUUCCUAGUGUAGCGGUGAAAUGCGUAGAUAUUAGGAGGAACACCAGUGGCGAAGGCGGCUUACUGGACUGUAACUGACGUUGAGGCUCGAAAGCGUGGGGAGCAAACAGGAUUAGAUACCCUUGUAGUC